AUGUUGAUGGAGAUUGCCCUCCCCAAGAUGGGAGAGUUGUUGGUGAUGAUGAGUUCCCCCUCUGGGAGGGAAGUUUCCCCGGUGGAAUCGAUCCGCCUGAGGGCAAAAGUGCUCCUGUCCAAGUUCCGCCUCGAGACGGCGGUGCUUCGUCCCGAAAGUCCUCUCCUUAAUCUAUUUUUCUUGGUCAAAAUGACUUAUAUACCAGAAGAGGGGCACCGGAGGUGGGCCAAGGAGGGCACAACCCAGCAGGGUGUGCCUGGGCUCCCUAGCGCGCCCAUGUUGGUUGUGCCCACUUGGUGGGCCCCCUCUGGUACUUAUUGGCUCCAAUAUUUCUUAUAUAUUCCAUAA
rnacentral:rRNA from 1 species